GAUGAACGCUGGCGGCGUGCCUAAUACAUGCAAGUCGAGCGAACAGACGAGGAGCUUGCUCCUCUGACGUUAGCGGCGGACGGGUGAGUAACACGUGGAUAACCUACCUAUAAGACUGGGAUAACUUCGGGGAACCGGAGCUAAUACCGGAUAAUAUAUUGAACCGCAUGGUUCAAUAGUGAAAGACGGUUUUGCUGUCACUUAUAGAUGGAUCCGCGCCGCAUUAGCUAGUUGGUAAGGUAACGGCUUACCAAGGCAACGAUGCGUAGCCGACCUGAGAGGGUGAUCGGCCACACUGGAACUGAGACACGGUCCAGACUCCUACGGGAGGCAGCAGUAGGGAAUCUUCCGCAAUGGGCGAAAGCCUGACGGAGCGACGCCGCGUGAGUGAUGAAAGUCUUCGGAUCGUAAAACUCUGUUAUUAGGGAAGAACAAAUGUGUAAGUAACUAUGCACGUCUUGACGGUACCUAAUCAGAAAGCCACGGCUAACUACGUGCCAGCCGCCGCGGUAA
rnacentral:rRNA from 1 species